CUACGGGCCGCUGCAGUGAGGAAUAUUGCACAAUGGGGGGAACCCUGAUGCAGCAACGCCGCGUGGAGGAUGACGCAUUUCGGUGUGUAAACUCCUUUUAUAUGUCAAGAAAAUGACGGUAGCAUAUGAAUAAGCACCGGCUAACACCGUGCCAGCAGCCGCGGUAAUACGGGAGGGUGCAAGCGUUACUCGGAAUCACUGGGCGUAAAGGACGCGUAGGCGGGUUGGAAAGUCAGGUGUGAAAUCCUACGGCUUGACUGUAGAACUGCACUUGAAACUUCUAAUCUAGAGUAUGGGAGGGGGAGAUGGAAUUAGUGGUGUAGGGGUAAAAUCCGUAGAUAUCACUAGGAAUACCUAAAGCGAAGGCGAUCUCCUGGAACAUUACUGACGCUAAGGCGUGAAAGCGUGGGGAGCAAACAGGAUUAGAUACCCUAGUAGUC
rnacentral:rRNA from 1 species